rnacentral:lncRNA from 1 species
AUUUAUUUGGGGAGAAUUUGAUUGAAAUGUUGAAAGAAAGCAAAGAUACAAGAUCAGCAGCUUUUCAAGUCAGCUCUAUAAUGAAGCCACAAAAAGCCACUUUUUAUCCGAAGACCGCGCCACAACGCCAAGCUGUUUUUUCCACUGAGCAUCCAACAAGAGUUCUUCCAGAAUCUAACAACUUCAAUCAGUAGAGUUUAAACUUCAAUCCAUCCUCGAACAGACCAAGAUUUCGACAAAGCCAGUACCCAAAUCAUCCUCAACCAACAUCGAGAUACAAACAGUCGAGCAGACAACAGCACCAAAACCCAACCAGAACAACCAGGAGGUCAUACUAAAGUUAAAUAAAAAAUCAGCAGAAAAUGUGACUAAUUAUUUUAAAAAUCGGAAAAAGAUUACUUCAGACAUCAAAGUUUUAAGUUGGGUCCAAGGUUUUAAUAUUUUAUUUAAAACAACACCGUCUCAAGAGAGAGCACCAAAAGUUUUUCAUAGACCCAAGUGAGUCGUAUGAUUUAGCUAUAAAGCAAUUACUUGAUAAGAGAGCUAUUUCUUCUACUUAACAUACAAGAGAGCAAUUCCUUUCUUCAUAUUUUCUAGUGCCCAA